UGUAUUUAUUAGAUUAAAAACCAAUGCCCUUCGGGGCUCUCUGGUGAUUCAUAAUAACUUCUCGAAUCGCACGGCCUUGCGCCGGCGAUGGUUCAUUCAAAUUUCUGCCCUAUCAACUUUCGACGGCUGGGUCUUGGCCAGCCGUGGUGACAACGGGUAACGGAGGGUUAGGGCUCGACCCCGGAGAAGGAGCCUGAGAAACGGCUACUACAUCCAAGGAAGGCAGCAGGCGCGCAAAUUACCCAAUCCCGACACGGGGAGGUAGUGACAAUAAAUACUGAUACAGGGCUCUUUCGGGUCUUGUAAUUGGAAUGAGUACAAUUUAAAUCCCUUAACGAGGAACAAUUGGAGGGCAAGUCCGGUGCCAGCAGCCGCGGUAAUUCCAGCUCCAAUAGCGUAUAUUAAAGUUGUUGAGGUUAAAAAGCUCGUAGUUGAACCUUGGGCCUAGCCGGCCGGUCCGCCUCACCGCGUGCACUGGCUCGGCUGGGUCUUUCCUUCUGGAGAACCUCAUGCCCUUCACUGGGUGUGUUGGGGAACCAGG
rnacentral:rRNA from 1 species